rnacentral:rRNA from 1 species
AUGGCCAAUAGUCUGGAAACCCCAUUCACGGAGGAAGAGGUUAAGAAGGUCAUCAUGGACAUGCCCUCGGAUAGGGCGUCGGGGCCGGAUGGGUUCUCGGGGUUAUUCUUCAAGGUAUGCUGGGAAAUCAUAGCACCUGAUCUCAUGUCAAUUAUGCGAGCUCUGUAUGAUGGUUGUUUUUACUCCUUUGGUGAUCUCAAUUCCUCCAUUAUCACUCUGCUGCCAAAGAAAUCAGACUCCCUGGAGGUUAGCGAUUUCAGGCCCAUUAAUCUCAUUCAUGGGGUGGCAAAGAUUUUUGCCAAGGUGCUAGCUGUUCGUGUCGCCCCCCUCCUG